UACAGAGGUCUCAAGCGUUGUUCGGAUUCAUUGGGCGUAAAGGGUGCGUAGGUGGCGCCGAUAAGUCGGGUGUGAAAUUCGACGGCUUAACUCCGAAAUUGCAUUCGAUACUGCGGUGCUUGAGGACUGGAGAGGAGACUGGAAUUCAUGGUGUAGCAGUGAAAUGCGUAGAGAUCAUGAGGAAGACCAGUGGCGAAGGCGGGUCUCUGGACAGUUCCUGACACUGAGACGAAGGCCAGGGGAGCAAACGGG
rnacentral:rRNA from 1 species